rnacentral:ribozyme from 1 species
UGCCCAGCAACUUCUAUCCCUACCUCCUCGUGGUACUGGCCGGGGUACGAGUAACCUUGGGGAAGA